AUUGAACGCUGGCGGCAGGCCUAACACAUGCAAGUCGAACGGAGUGGCGGACGGGUGAGUAAUGCCUAGGCAUCUGCCUGGUAGUGGGGGAUAACGUCCGGAAACGGGCGAUAAUACCGCAUAAUAUCAUAUGAGCCUAGGUCGGAUUAGAUAGUUGGUGGGGUAAAGGCCUACCAAGGCGACGAUCCGUAACUGGUCUGAGAGGAUGAGCAGUCACACUGGAACGUAGACACGGUCCAGACUCCUACGGGAGGCAGCAGUGGGGAAUAUUGGGCAAUGGGCGAAAGCCUGAACCAGCCAGGCCGCGUGUGUGAAGAAGGUCUUCGGAUUGUAAAGCACUUUAAGUUGGGAGGCGUUACCAACAGAAUAAGCACCGGCUAACUUCGUGCCAGCAGCCGCGGUAAUAC
rnacentral:rRNA from 1 species